GUAUUUUCCCUCCACAUCAUGUCCUAGUAGUCACCAUAGUCGCUAUAGUUGUUUCACAGUUUUUCAUAGUUACCUCAGUCUUGUCACAGAUUUCUUAGUUUUUUAGUUUUCCCAGUUAGUUUUCAGUUAGCAUUGCCCCUGUUUGCCUUUGCCUUGUUUUUGUCUCCUUCAGUGUCUGUAUUUGGGUCAGUUUCCUUAAACACAAAGGCUGCUGAGCUGUGACCAAAAAUGACUGAAACCAAGUCAAGUUGAGUUGAGCCGAGUAGGUGCUAGUGAAAAGACGCAAAAAAACAAAACACGGUGGAGGCUAUCACUUUAAAGCACUUUAAAAUACCCAGCACAGAACCAAAGUGCUGUACAGAAAAUAAGUUAAAAACAAUAGAAUAACAGAAAACAGCAAAAAUAAAUAAAUAAAACACAUAAUACAUAAAAAAUAAAAACAGCCCUAUGAGGUCCGGUAAUGGCGGCUGGCUGAAAGGACGUGCCCACUUCUGCUCCGCUAUCUUUCUGUAAAAUCCUGAAUAAUACUCGUUUGUUAGACAUUGAACGACACCUAGGACAGCUGUGAUGCCUCUCUCGCAAAGGAAACCCGGGAAAAACAUUGGUAGACCGACUCAAUCGAAAUUAUCUGACUUCACUUCUAAGUUGAACUCUGAGGCUAGCUGUGAAGCUAGCGUUAGCCGUGAAGAUAGCGAGACUAAUAUUAACGCUAGCCAGGCGGUGGAGGAGGGAAAUGAUGAGCCGACUGAGAGAGAAAAGACGGCCGAAGGCUCAGACGUAAUACUGGCGGCUAUUGCAAGCUUGAAAUCCGAUUUUUCCUCCAAACUUGAUGGUAUUUUGUCAGCAAUAGAGACCGUGAGGAAGGAUGUUAAUGAGUGUGCCAAGCGGGUCAACGAGGCGGAGGCCCGGAUAUCUGCAGCAGAAGAUAGCAUUACCACCUUGGAAGCAAAGGUACGGACUCUUGAAAAUAACAACAAAAACCUCGAGGACAAAGUGCUGGAUCUGGAGACCAGAUCGCGACGAUCUAACUUGAGACUUGUUAACCUGCCCGAGGACGCAGAAGGAGAAGACGCGUGCGCUUUCUUGGAAAACUGGCUACCGGAGGC
ensembl:lncRNA